GCAAGUCGAGCGGACCCUUCGGGGUUAGCGGCGGACGGGUGAGUAACACGUAGGCAACCUGCCUGUAAGACUGGGAUAACUACCGGAAACGGUAGCUAAGACCGGAUAAGUGAUUCUCUCGCAUGAGAGGAUCAAGAAACACGGGGCAACCUGUGGCUUACGGAUGGGCCUGCGGCGCAUUAGCUAGUUGGUGGGGUAACGGCUCACCAAGGCGACGAUGCGUAGCCGACCUGAGAGGGUGAUCGGCCACACUGGGACUGAGACACGGCCCAGACUCCUACGGGAGGCAGCAGUAGGGAAUCUUCCGCAAUGGACGCAAGUCUGACGGAGCAACGCCGCGUGAGUGAUGAAGGUUUUCGGAUCGUAAAGCUCUGUUGCCAGGGAAGAACGUCGCGGAGAGUAACUGCUCUGCGAAUGACGGUACCUGAGAAGAAAGCCCCGGCUAACUACGUGCCAGCAGCCGCGGUAAUACGUAGGGGGCAAGCGUUGUCCGGAAUUAUUGGGCGUAAAGCGCGCGCAGGCGGCCGCUUAAGUCUGGUGUUUAAGCCCGAGGCUCAACCUCGGUUCGCACUGGAAACUGGGUGGCUUGAGUGCAGGAGAGGAAAGCGGAAUUCCACGUGUAGCGGUGAAAUGCGUAGAGAUGUGGAGGAACACCAGUGGCGAAGGCGGCUUUCUGGCCUGUAACUGACGCUGAGGCGCGAAAGCGUGGGGAGCAAACAGGAUUAGAUACCCUGGUAGUCCACGCCGUAAACGAUGAGUGCUAGGUGUUAGGGGUUUCGAUACCCUUGGUGCCGAAGUAAACACAAUAAGCACUCCGCCUGGGGAGUACGCUCGCAAGAGUGAAACUCAGAGGAAUUGACGGGGACCCGCACAAGCAGUGGAGUAUGUGGUUUAAUUCGAAGCAACGCGAAGAACCUUACCAGGUCUUGACAUCCCUCUGAAUAUCCUAGAGAUAGGGUAGGCCUUCGGG
rnacentral:rRNA from 1 species